rnacentral:misc_RNA from 1 species
GAUGAAGAACGCAGCGAAAUGCGAUAAGUAAUGUGAAUUGCAGAAUUCAGUGAAUCAUCGAAUCUUUGAACGCACAUUGCGCCCGCCAGUAUUCUGGCGGGCAUGCCUGUUCGAGCGUCAUUUCAACCAUCAAGCCCCCGGCUUGUGUUGGGGACCUGCAGCUGCCGCAGGCCCUGAAAACCAGUGGCGGGCUCGCUAGUCACUCCGAGCGUAGUAAUACAUCUCGCUCAGGGCGUGCUGCGGGUUCCGGCCGUUAAAAAGCCUUAUUUACCCAAGGUUGACCUCGGAUCAGGUAGGAAGACCCGCUGAACUUAAGCAUAUCAAUAAGCGGAGGA